rfam:Strongyloides stercoralis strain PV0001 genome assembly, scaffold: SSTP_scaffold0000022
UCUCUGGUAGUAUAGUGGUGAGUAUCCGCGCCUGUCACGUGCGAGACCGGGGUUCGAUUCCCCGCCAGAGAG